rnacentral:rRNA from 1 species
CAUGUCUUUUUGAUUUUAAUAGAAAGUCUAUUCUGCUCAAUGAUUUUGAUUAAAUAGCUGCAGUAUCUUGACUGUACAAAGGUAGCAUAAUAAAUAGCCUUUUAAUUGGGGGCUGGAAUGAAGGAUUGGACAAGAAAAAAACUGUCUCAAUUUUAUUAAUAUUGAAUUUAACUUUUUAGUAAGAAGGCUAAAAUAAAGUUAAAAGACGAGAAGACCCUAUAGAGUUUUAUAAAUUUUGAUUUUUAUAUUAAUUUAGAAUUAUUAUUAAUUAGAUUUUUAUUUUUUAUUUGGUUGGGGUGAUUGGAAAAUUUUAUAAACUUUUCUAUUUUAAAAUUAAUUAUUUUUAAAUUGUUUAUCUAAUUUUAAAAUUAAAAUAAAUUACCUUAGGGAUAACAGCGUAAUAUGUUUUUGAAGUUCUUAUUUAAAAACUUGGUUGCGACCUCGAUGUUGGAUUAAAAUAAAUUUUUAGUGUAGAAGCUAAAUAAUUGAGUCUGUUCGACUUUUGAAAUUUUACAUGAUCUGAGU